AAGCUAGUGCAGCUAUCUUUACUAGAUUAACUAAAUGUAUGAACCAAAAAAUGAGUACUCCUAAGCAAGAUUCAUCAUGCUAGUAUUAGGGAUUGUAUUAGUUGGUGAUUCAUUUGAUACGGUAUGAAUCUGUAUUUUACCAAUCCAACGUGCAUCGAAUCGAAGCGAUGGAGAGGAUGCAAGAGAGAGAGGGGCCCAUAG
rnacentral:lncRNA from 1 species